UAGGGAAUCUUUCGCAAUGGACGCAAGCCUGACGGAGCAACGCCGCGUGAGUGAAGAAGGACUUCGGUUCGUAAAACUCUGUUGUUAGAGAAGAACAGCGCAUAGAGUAACUGUUAUGCGUGUGACGGUAUCUAACCAGAAAGCCACGGCUAACUACGUGCCAGCAGCCGCGGUAAUACGUAGGUGGCAAGCGUUGUCCGGAUUUAUUGGGCGUAAAGCGAGCGCAGGCGGUCAAUUAAGUCUGAUGUGAAAGCCCCCGGCUCAACCGGGGAGGGUCAUUGGAAACUGGUUGACUGGAGUGCAGAAGAGGAGAGUGGAAUUCCAUGUGUAGCGGUGAAAUGCGUAGAUAUAUGGAGGAACACCAGUGGCGAAGGCGACUCUCUGGUCUGUAACUGACGCUGAGGCUCGAAAGCGUGGGUAGCAAACA
rnacentral:rRNA from 1 species